GAUCAGGGGGAGGUUCUCUAGCUUCUAAAGGUGCCUUCUGCUGCUAAGAUUCUGCAGCUUCAGGCUCUUUAUUGUAUUUUUGUUCAGUAAGUUUUUAAAAAUUUUUUUUAAAAGUCCGUUUGCUACUGUAGUACAUUUAAACAUCAGCAGAUGGGGCCCUUGAUUCCUGAGAAGAAUGCCAGGGCUUGAAUUUUGUUCAUGUCUGUGGUCUGCGUGAAUUUUUCUUGUUGCUUUUACAGCAUGUUAAAUUUGUACUCUUUAUAGUUCACAAACCUUUAUAUAAUCAAGAAAAAUAAAACUCACUAAUGGCAAGAAAACCUUUUUUUUCCUCUUCUGCUGUUCUAUAGAGAUAAGUUAGAUCUGUUUACAAAUAGAAAAAUGAGACUAACAUAAUACUCAGACAACAUGAUUCUGAAACAGCAACAGAAGUCAAUGUUGUAAUUAAUCUGUUGUCCGUAACUCACGAAGCUGUGUGGGAGGCUUUUGCUGCAUGGGACCACAGGUGACAGUUUGGUUGCAUCCAAGGUUACUCUGAUUCUGGAUUGUUUUCCCUCCUCUCUCCUGAAUUUCAUUUUAUGAGGACAUUGUGUGAAUUGGAUGGUUUUUAGCACUUGCCAAUGAUUAUUAUUUUUUUAAGUGAUGUUUGUCGAUAGUCCAUAAAGGGAACAACUGGUCAUCUGGUCCUUGCACCUGUUCAAGUGGACCUGCAUACUUUCGAUUACUUUUGUCUUCCUCUGACAACCUGGUCAAAAGUUGAUGAUGCCUUCCCAUCUGGAUUGAUUUCUCAGUUCUCAAGUCUAUACAGCACCCUGCCUCCCACCCUACAUUGCCUAUGGGCCCUUUAACAGAUGACUACAGACACAGUGAAAGAGAGACAGAAUCAGCAGAGGAAUUAUCCCUGCACAGUCAAUAGAAUUCCAGAAUGGGUAAACAAGAAGAAAGAGUGCAACAAUUCCUUGAAAUUUGCUGAAUUCUCAAAUGGAUAAACACAUUUGAAGGAGACAAAAGAAGACAGGAGCCUUGACCAGGAUGCAGGCAGAUGAAACUGGUAUGUUUUUAUCAUGAAUUUAUGAAGGUAAAGAUGUUCUCAUAAAAAAAAAAAAACAACGUCAGUUUUGUUUUUUAAGACAAGAAGAGGUCUUGCUCAUGAAAGGCCAAACUAUUGGGUAUACUAUUGUGGGUUGUGUUUUGUGUAUGUGUCUGCACAUGUGCACGUGUGUAUUUUCAGUCUAUCCAUACGUGUAGCUCAUAUUACUGUUACUGAGGACAUGCCAUUUGACAGAGAAAUGUAGCUCCAUGUAAUUGAAUGUGGAAUAGACGUUCUGUGAAAACGAGUUUUAAUUGUUACAUGAUACAUAUAAUAUCAGCAGAUAUUUAUUCUGGUUAGUAGUAAUUGAAAUUGAAUUAAAAAAUCCAAGUAUAAAGCAAUUAUUGUCCCUUCUUAGAGUUCCUUCUUAAAAGAUUGUUGUUUUAAGAUUUUAUCUACAAGGGUUUUGGAUGUUACAUUUCAAAAAUAGAAAAAUAAAAGGAGUACCAGGUCUUUCUUAAAAACCUCGGGGUGGGAGUGAAUGCCCAUGUGUAGAUAUUCAGUUGUUUGUAGCCUUGUUAGGCCCUCGUGCUUCAUUAAAUACACCUAAAAAGAAAACAACUUAUAUUUGGGCUUCAGUAGGUUGCAGGAGGACACACACAUGACUAAAGUCAGAAGCCAUUUUUAAUCACUGAUUUGCUCCCCUUACAAAACAAAAAGGACGAGCGCCCUCGGCUAUGUAAAACCUUUAGUCACUAGUCUGCCAAAAAUGUAAAUAUUUUAAAAA
ensembl:lincRNA